GUUGGGAUUUCUUGGAACUUGGCGGGGAGGGGUGGGUACCACGCAGUUUUGUACCAAACACGGGCAUCCAUGGAACUGCUGUGGCGCGGGUGGGGGUGGGGUUUAGUGAGACAAGGAGGGUAUGAUUGAGUGUGAGGCGAAACGUGAGUCCGACCCAGCACUGAGUUAGAUCUUACUGGUCUUAGCCGGAUUGGCCACUUCCUGUUUGUCAGGGUCCUGUGGGCCUGUCGCCUCCCCCUGUCCCUGCAGCUGGUUUCAGCAGCUCCUUCUGUGUCCGUCAUGGGAACCUGCUGCCUGGAGUUCUUGUUUCUUCUGUGACCUCCCAGUAUUCCCAUCUCAGCAUGGCCCACUGUCAGCUGGCUGCUCGUGACUGGCCGAGAGUUGCAGUGGCAACCAAGUCAGCUCUGCUCAGGAGCCGCCCUGGACAGCAAACUGGCCCGUGCUGAGUCCUGUCCAAGACGAGGCAUUUUUAAAACACAAGGAGUCUUCGAAGCAAUGUCAAGGAAACGUUGGCCUUGGAGUCAAAUCCUGAGCUUCCUGCUUGCUGGUUUUGGGCGGUGACUCUCGCUGUCUG